rnacentral:rRNA from 1 species
AUUGAACGCUGGCGGCAGGCCUAACACAUGCAAGUCGAACGAGUGGCGGACGGGUGAGUGAUGUCUGGGAAACUGCCCGAUGGCGGGGGAUAACGACUUGACACGGUAGCUAAUACCCCAUUCCAUCGGAUGUGCCCAUAUGGGAUUAUCUAGUAGGGUGGGUAACGGCUCACCUAGGCGACGAUCCCUAGCUGGUCUGAGAGGAUGACCAGCCACACUGGAACUGAGACACGGUCCAGACUCCUACGGGGGGCAGCAGUGGGGAAUAUUGCACAAUGGGCGCAAGCCUGAUGCAGCACUGCCGCGUGUAUGAAGAAGGCCUUCGGGUUGUAAAGUACUUUCAGCGAGGAGGCGUUACUCGCAGAAGAAGCACCGGCUAACUCCGUGCCAGCAGCCGCGGUAAUAC